GCAGUCUCUAGGAGGCCCGUUCUCAGGCGAGAGGGAACGAGGCCCCUUUCUGGAGGCGCUGCGUGAUCCUCCCAGAAUGCUGAGAGUACAGGCAUGUGCCACUGUGACCCGUUUUCAAAGGUUGGACACAGACCUUCCAGUGUUGUCUGCUCACCCAGGACUGGUAUUUCUGUGGUUUUGGGAACACCUGCAUUCUGUUGAAGACUAGCGACUGAAAUGGAUGAUGGCAGAGCAGAACUCUGACCCCCACCACGUCUUGGGUCUGUGAAGGACAGAAGGAGCAAAUGUUCAAAUGAUUUUUUGGAAUCCUUGGUGUCCACAUUUCUGAGGAUAAGAAACAUCUGUCUCCUUUUAAAUACACUUUACUUAGAAAAUGGACAAAUCUUCCUGACUUUGUUAGAUAAGGCGAGUUGCUUCCACCUUUGAAAUUUUGUCUUCAUAACUUUAUAAAUCUAUAAUGCCUGUA